UGUAAAUACAUGGAGUCUAUGUCACUUAUUACCUGGUCCUGACCCAUUGUGACAACAGCUCACCCAGUGUGGAGGUGUCACUGAGGUUAAACAGGCCCAUGUCCUGCACCAACACUGCUCCACAAAGAAAAAAAAAAAGUUUCAUUGUCAUAGGACAUCCCUUCUAAGGGAACAGAAGGCCCAGUGUGCACACCAGGUGUAUUCCUUGGAGAGCUCUGCCUCCCUUUGGCCUGGUUAAUGCUGUGAAGAGAAAGCCCUGCUUUGGUAGGGCCUCAGGCCACCAUUUACCAUUGUGUGCUCAGGUGGGCAGAAAUGAAGUUACAGCAAGAAGACCAAUGGCAAUUAGGAGAGACUUGAGGGGCCUCAGGAUAGCAAUUUAAGGAAUCAAGAGCACGAGUGGUAUAUUCAAGAUCAACACCUGGUGCCAAGCCUGGUGUCACCAGAAGAAUUUGGGGUCAGUUAACAUAGAACCAGGCCUGCUGGCAACACACAGGUUAUGCCUGUCUCAAAAUGGAAAAAGGAUCUUUGCACAGGGGUGAUAAGGGUUAAUUGGAAGAGCUUUAAACUGGAUGUGAAGAAAAGGUGGCAGCAUAGUGCUGUAUAUUAUGGAAUGUUUUGGUUGUCUAGCUUAAUGAUGGUGAUGAUAGGACUGCAAGUCUGUGGGUAAGAAUUGGGGGGAAGGCUAACAAAGCAGAUCUCCUGGUGGGAGCUUGUUAAAGACCACCCAGCCAGGAUGAAGAGCGAUGAAAUAUUCUAUAAGCAGAUGGGAGGAGUCCCACAAUCGCUACAUCAUAGCACAGCAUAAAAGAGAGGAAUAAUCUAAGAAGUGCCAGGAGUGUGUGAGGGAGGCUUCCCUGGCAUCAUGACAACCAGGAGAGCUACUGGAGCUACCAGUGGUGAAGAGAGAGAGGCUGAUGGAAGAUGUGUGCAACAAGAAGAUGAGUGCCAGAGGCAAGACUUGCAGAAGAGGAAACACUUCUACAGCACCUGAACACUGUGGUGACAAUCCCUGGUUUCUAAUCCCAAAAGAUCUCUUAGCAGUGCUGCAAAAUCUUCGUUUCCCCCUGAAAGCCUGAGACACCUUUCUCCAAAAACUGAAAGACUUCCAUUAGGUUCAACAGAUUUUCAAACAUGGUCCUAUCCAAGAUGAGUGCUUUCUUUUAAUGUGUGAAUAGAGAUUUCAGGAGGAUUAUUACUCUGAUGGCAAGGAAUGCACGAGGAUGACAAGGAUGAUCAAAUAUAUGAAAUUACUCUUAUUAAAGAGCAGCAAAGAAGGCUGGGGCUCAGCCUGAGAAAAAAGAAAAAGAGCUGAUAUAUGCUACUGGUCUUAAAACCAGGGAGGAUGACCUGGCAAAGCCAACAACUAAGCACCACACAGCUGCUUACUUCUUUCCCUGUGUCCCCAGUGGGAUGUGGAGGAGAAUCAGAAAAAGACUCUUGCUCAUCUAUAAAUCAUCUUGGUUACACAAAAUCCACUGAAACCACACCAGACUGGAGGGCAACAUUCACUGAUGGCAGCAGAGAAAAGAACACUCAUGGGGGGUUCACACAGUGUCAAGCCUCCAGGAAGAGCUGUGCAGGGAGGAGGCCUCAUCAAAGAGGCCAGAAAUGCUUGAUUUUGCAUUCAGACAAAGUGAAUUCAGACAAAGGAUGAAGCUGGAGGUCAGUGGUGGCUUCUGAGUAGCUCCCUAUCUUCUGAAAUAAAUGGUUCUAUUUGGUUCUAUUACAAGACCAAACAAGCCAGCACUAAAAAAAAAAAAACAAUAAAAAAUCUUCCCCAGCAUAGAUAUUACAAGGAGAAACCCUUGCAAAGUGAAAAUUUGAUUACUUGCUUGUUCUCUGGGUUUUUGAUUGUUUUUGAGGUUUUGUUUUGUUUUUUUUUUUAAUUUUGGGGGGUUUUGGGGUUUUUUUUUGUUUGUUUGUUUGUUUGUCUGGUUGGUUGGUUGUGGUUUUUUGGAGUUUUUUGGGGGGAUUUUUUGAGAGGGGAUUUUGUGGUUUUUUGGAGGGCUUUUCUGUGGUUUUUUUUUUUUUUUUGGUGGCUUUCUUUCUUUGUUUUUGUUUUUUAUGGCUUUGGUUAUGGUUUUGCUUUUGUUUGUUUGCCUGUUGUUUAUUUAUCUUUUCAUUAUUUUUCCUUAAACAAAAAUUGAGUUCUCAUUGUGAAUUCCAGACUUGCAUUGAUUCUCCUGCAUUCCUCCCUUGCAGUUUUCUCAAGACAUAUCAAAGGACACCAUACAUGUAGCACUGGCUGCUUGAACAGCCUUUGUAGGAACAUGUUUGGGCCCCACCUUUUUUUACUUUAAACUUUCUGCUCUACAAAUCCCGAAGACAAGAUUAUUUGGCACUCCACAGCUCUUUCCUACUGCAUUGCUAAAAUGAAAUGUUUCAAUAUUCUUGCAAUGAAACAUUCUGACAUUAUCAAAAUGCAAAGAGAAGAUUGAAAUGAUUCAUUUGGACUCACUCCCAUAAAAAAUGUCACUGAAAUCAGCACAUUUUCACGACAAGUUUUGAUUUGGGCAAAGCUGCAUAUACUAUUUAUUUUUGCCUUGGAAAAUGGUUUCAUUAAAAACAAAUGACCAGCUUUAAUUACAACUCACUGAGCUUUUGCUCCAAAAGUCAAAGCUAUUAAAACAGCACUUAGUCUGUAUGUACAGGGAAACAGAUUCUGUCUUACAAGUGGCUAUGAAAAACAUCUUAUUCCCCUUCAGAAGGGCUCGUAUUUGAUGUCCCUGGGACUGCAAACCAAAUUUGUGUUUUGCCUUUAAGUGGCGUCCACAAUUUAUAAGAAAAAAAAAAUCAAGAAUUUAAUAAACAAUUCAAAGGCAAAAGGUGAAGGGCGCAUCCCAAUCCUUUGAAGAAAAUUACCAUUGACUUUUGAGUUUAGUUCUGGAAAUGGAAAGCAGGAACUACAAAGCUGUGUCUGCACGGCACUGGAGCCUGAGCAGAGAUCUGAGACAGGACCAAUUGAGCCAUCUUCCAAACCAGAGUCAAUACGGCCACGCCAGAGCAGCCCUCUGUCCAAACUGAUUAGGCUGCUGAAAAGCUGGAUUUUGUGACUUCGUCCAUGCUAUUAAAUUAAAUGUGCCUUAGCCCACAGCAUGACACUGAGGCCAGCUGGCACGCAAGAGCUCACGUCAGUAUUGAACACUCCAUUGCUGUGCAGUGGGUGGGUGCAUCCUGACUGCCCCCUGGGAGGGACCCCUGGCCCAAAACUAACACCUAAAAAAGGUUCAGACACGGUUUGGGGGAGUGUCUGCUUGCCUGAGAUGAAAAUGAGCCAACAAUUUAUCUCUGCAAUUAAUCCAUAAAGCUGUGUUGCCCAAUGCUACUUAAUUUAGUAAUAGAAAUACGGCAAAUUAAUCUGCCCGUGUGACUGACUUGUACAUUUUAAUGAGUGAAUAUCCCAGCCUUUCCUGAGCUGUGAGACACAAGACCUCAUUGCUGCAGCCUGAGAGACACCUGCCAAGUGCCCAUCUGAGCCCCCACCUCAUUACAGGGCUCCAGCACCAGACCUUGGUCACGACCAUCCUGCUGCAGCUCCCAGGGCAAAUACUGACACACAUCCCUCACCCACCCCAGGCUGUGAAGAGUUUAUAUUGUUUUCAGAAUAGGUUUUCACUAGAUCACAGGCCAGCUAAUUUGUGAUUGGCCCUUCAGAGAACUUCCUUUCCCUGGCAAGAUAUUAUGGUUUUCUUGGUUGACAAGGACCAUGAGUCAAAGUCAUAGAAUCUUUAAAGUUGGAAAAGUCCUCUAAGAGCGUGGAUUCCAACCAUUAACUGCCAUAUUCACUAAUAAACCAUGUCCCUGAGCACUACAAAUAUACAUUUUUUUUUCAACAUAGUAUGAAUGGUGGUUUCACCACUUUCCUGGGCCGCCUGUUCCAUGAAAAAAUUUUUCCUAAUAUCCAAUUUAAACCUAUCCUAGAACAACUUGAUGCCAUUUCCUCUUCCUCUUUGUUACCUGGGGAAAAAGACCAACCUCCUCCUCCUCCCCUCCCCUUCCAUCUGCCUCCAACUCAUUUCAGGAAACUGUAGAGAGAUAUGAUGAACCCAAAUCUGGAGCAGGAUCCUCAAGGAAAAAUAGGAUCCACUUUACCCUCCCUCCAUGGUGCUUUCUGUUGCUGUCAGGGCAAAACCAACUUAAAACUCCUAAGUUUUGGAACAACCACUGUCUGUGAGGCAGAGACAGGGAGGAUGUUAGGCUUAACUGGUCUCUGCUGCUCUCAUGCUCUCUCCCCUUCCCUGUAUAUCACUCCCAGCAUGGCAGGUGCAGCCAGGAGAGCAAACACCAGUCACCUCACACACUCCAGGAAUGCACACUUGUAAAUCAGUAAUAUUGUGUCACCGAGCAGAGCUUUGAAUAAGGCCCUAAUUGUAGCAUUUCUACGGAUGAACCACUAAAUGAGUAGCUGGGAUGUCAAAGAAAGAGAAGGUGAUGAACAUCAGGAAGUGCUUCCGGAGAGGUGGGUUGAGGAGAAUGGCUGGGUGGGUGAAAGGGAAAGAGCUGGGAAAGCAGUUGAUAAAAGGAAACUUUGUACGACACUAAGUAAAAUUCUGUGAGAAAUUAAAGCCCACACAAGAACAAAGAUGAGUAAAGAGCUCCAGACACUCAGCAGCGCUUCAGCUGGGUGUCUGGAGUCUUUGACAGAAGAUGUGAUUCAUCAGCUCCCACACACAUCUUUUUUUAAAGAUGCAUGCUCAUUUCAACAAAUGUGAAAUUUCCAGGAAAAGCAAGAGCACACCACAUCCACACAGCCCUGAACAGCCUGACGUGGGCACACUGAUGCCGUGACAGGGAUGCUAGCCAAGCACGGCACAACCACCGUGCCAUCUUCUGCCCAAGGGGUGGGCAAGAGGCAGCAUCUCCCCCUUCUUCCCUCCCUUCCACUGCUUCCCUUGGGAAAGAUCUGAGUUCUCUCUUGUCUGGGUUGGGUGAUUCAUCAUAUAUGACGGAAAAGAAUUUAAAAAAAUAUCUCCUGUGGGACAGCUAAGUUUGGUGGAUAGAUCAGCAUGCCUAGAGAUCUUGAAGGCCUCUGAAUAACUAUCCAGGGGGUGUUCAGAGCCUGCCACAUGCUGCAAAGUUGUCCUCUGCUAUCCAGAGUUUAUUUUUAAUAAAAAAAAACCAAAAAACCAAGCAAACCAAACCAAAAAAACAAACAAACAAA